rnacentral:tRNA from 1 species
AUACAAUUGGCGCAAUGGUAGCGCGUCCGACUCCAGAUCGGAAGGGUAUGCAUACACUUCGUAAUUAUUGUAGU